rnacentral:rRNA from 1 species
ACUCCUACGGGAGGCAGCAGUAAGGAAUAUUGGACAAUGGACGCAAGUCUGAUCCAGCCAUGCCGCGUGAAGGAUUAAGGUCCUCUGGAUUGUAAACUUCUUUUAUAAGGGACGAAAAAAGGCUUUUCUAAGUCGUCUGACGGUACCUUAUGAAUAAGCACCGGCUAACUCCGUGCCAGCAGCCGCGGUAAUACGGAGGGUGCAAGCGUUAUCCGGAUUCACUGGGUUUAAAGGGUGCGUAGGCGGGCAGGUAAGUCAGUGGUGAAAUCCUAGAGCUUAACUCUAGAACUGCCAUUGAUACUAUCUGUCUUGAAUAUUGUGGAGGUAAGCGGAAUAUGUCAUGUAGCGGUGAAAUGCUUAGAUAUGACAUAGAACACCUAUUGCGAAGGCAGCUUACUACGCAUAUAUUGACGCUGAGGCACGAAAGCGUGGGGAUCAAACA